AACAAAGUGCCUGAGUAUAGGGUCAUUUUGAUAGAAUGGAAAACGUGAAAAUAAGUCACCUUUGUUA
rnacentral:tRNA from 1 species